rnacentral:lncRNA from 1 species
UCACAGUGCCGUAGACAAGCUCAAAGUCAGGGAUCUUAUUGUAAGCAUGCUUUCCAACACCAUCUUUCUGAGAAUUACCGCUUUAAUUAGCAGAAGGAAAAACAAGGCUGAGUUCAUAAGAGGAUGAAGUAAAAUGCUCCUUUGAAAUGACAGAUACAGCCCCAGCAGCUGUGCUUAUGGAAAGACCUAGACUCUCACAAAAUUCCCCAUGAAAUUUCAGGACUGCCAAAGCUAGCCUUGUUCUUUCACCAGUCCACAGGAACCAAGGAGUUAACUUAUGAGGCAGGAAGAAGUAGCUGGGACUGUUUAGCUCAGAGAAGGGAAGACUCAGGGGGCAUCUCAAGAAUAUAUGCGAAUAGCUGAAGGGAUGCUGCAGAAGAGCCAAGCUCUUCUCAGUGGUGCGCAGUCACAGGACUAGAGGCAAUAGGCAAAAACUGGAGCACAUGAACAACAUCUGAACAUCAGGAAACAUUUUUUUCGCUGUGCAGGUGACAGAAUAUUACAAAGGUUAAUCAGGAAAGUUGUGGAGUCAUCUUGUGGAUCUUCAUAAGGUUCCUGGACAUGGACCUGGGCAGCCUGCUGUGGGUGCUUUAGCAGUAGUCCCUGCCAACAUCAACC